GUUGUGGCUCAGAGGUAGAGUGCUCGCCUGACAUGCCUGAGGCAAUGGGUUCUAUCCUCAGAACAACA
rnacentral:tRNA from 1 species